GAUUUAAAGCCCAAGCGCUGUGUUAGGCGCUCCAGCUGAGACCAGACCUAAUUAAUGCAAGGAAAGGCUGCUGUAUGCACAGCUAUCUAGGUGGCUCUGCCUUUUCAUCUUUGGACUUUGUCCUAAUCAGAGCGGAUGCCGCUUUUUGAUCAGGUUAUUUGAGGGGCUGUGAGAGUGUCUUCCUUCCCCUUUAUCCUCUUUCAAUCCAUAUCUAUGGCAAACAUUAGACUGUUUCUACUGACAACAGGCAUUUUUGCUUACUAUUGACAGAUUAAUUCUAUUAAUGGCUUAAAAUCCUGCUGUGGUUCUC